GCAUUGGUGGUUCAGUGGUAGAAUUCUCGCCUGCCACGCGGAAAUGAGGGUUCGAAUCCGCCCUUGGCCA
rnacentral:tRNA from 1 species